GAUGAACGCUAGCGGCAGGCCUAAUACAUGCAAGUCGAACGCUCAGUAGCAAUACUGGGAGUGGCGCACGGUGCGUAACGCGUACACAAUCUACCUCUAAGCGGGGACACCUCCUGGAAACGGGGAUUAAUACCGCAUAAUAUGCCGAAGUCGCAUGACUUUGGUAUUAAAGCAGCAAUGCACUUAGAGAUGAGUGUGCGUCCCAUUAGGUAGUUGGUGAGGUAACGGCUCACCAAGCCUAUGAUGGGUAGCCGGUCUGAGAGGAUGGUCGGCCACACGGGCACUGAGACACGGGCCCGACUCCUACGGGAGGCAGCAGUAGGAUAUUGGUCAAUGGUGGAAACACUGAACCAGCCAUGCCGCGUGGAGG
rnacentral:rRNA from 1 species